UACAUGGGGUGCAAACGUUGCUCGGAAUUAUUGGGCGUAAAGCGCACGUAGGCGGUUCGUUAAGUCGGAUGUGAAAGCCCUCGGCUCAACUGAGGAAGUGCACCCGAAACUGGCGAGCUUGAGUGCCGGGAGAGGGGUGGCGGAAUUCCCCCAAGUAGAGGUGAAAAUUCGUAGAUAUGGGGGAGGAACACCGGUGGCGAAGGCGGCCACCUGGACGGGUAACUGACGCUGAGACGCGAAAGCGUGGGGAGCAAACAGG
rnacentral:rRNA from 1 species